UUAGUUCUAACAUGUGUAAAUAGAAGUUAUACUGCAUCAAUAUUUGCUAAUCUUAGUGCAUGAUUGUAACAAGUUCUUCGUGUGUUAAAAUAAUGUGUUUUAGUGUGUAUAGUGUUGUUGAGAGUGUGUGUGUGGGAGUGUUGGAGAAAGGUGCUAACAGUUGUGUGUUGCAGGCUUGUUGCUGUGUGAGGGUUGGCUGGCCACGGGUCUAUGGGGAGGGAGAGGUCGUGGUGCAGGUCGUCCUGGUGACGCUGCUGGUGACGGAGGUGCUGCCGUCACACACUCCUGCCCGAAGUGUGGCCGUACAUACACUUUGCGGUCUAACCUCUCCCGUCACAUGCGGCUGGAGUGCGGUGUGGAGCGGCGCUACAGGUGCGCUUACUGUCACAAGAGAUUCAGUCAUGCUCAUCAUUUGCGUUCACAUGAGAGGUCCAUACACGCCCACGCCAUUGUUACUACUGCAGCAGCCACGCCUACUGCCACUGCCACGCCAGCACAGUCCUCGUGACCCAUGGUGGUGAUCCACGCCUGCAACAACCUCUAAAAACCUCAAGUGAGAGAUGCAGCAGUGAGGAACAAGGACAGUGUCUGAGUUGUGACUUGUCACCAUCAUCACUGCAACCAGUGACAACGUAUGGCACGAGUGGCCGGGGCUUCUUACUUCAACCACCACCAUCACCACAGCUAACUGCAAUGUGUGGUGCGUUUGGUUUCGACCGACAACCACCACCAUCACCACAGCUAACUGCAAUGUGUGGUGCGUUUGGUAUCGACUGACAACCGCCACCAUCACCUCAGCUAACUGUAAUGUGUGGUGCGUUGGUAUCGACUGACAACCGCCACCAUCACCACAGCUAACUGCAAUGUGUGGUGCGUUUGGUAUCAACUGACAACCACCACCAUCACCACAGCUAACUGCAAUGUGUGGUGCAUUUGGUAUCGACUAACAACCACCACCAUCACCACAGCUAAUUGCAGUGUGUGGUGCGUUUGGAAUCGACUGACAACCGCCACCAUCACCACAGCUAACUGCAAUGUGUGGUGCGUUUGGUAUCGACUGACAACCGCCACCAUCAUCAAUGUCUUUACUAUACCCGAAAGGGGUAUCAGAAUUUUAUCUUAGGGCACUUUUGUCACGAUUGUUUUUGAAAAGGGUUUAAAACCUAGCCGGGGUAAGCCAGUGGAUGCCCAUCAACUGAAUGAGUCCAUCAUCUGAUUAAGUCCUUCAGAUGUAUACCACCAACACCAUCAGCACCAACUACAUUCAACCCUGAUUUAUACUAUCACCAGCAAGGAUAACAAGUUUCUCAUACGCUUCCUGGUGGGGAAACUUUUGACACACAUGACGGGAGUUCGAUGAGUACCUCAAGUUUGUUCCUGACUAGCUGAACUGUGUGCUAGCUGGCAGCAGUAGCCUGAUUGAUCAGUCCAACAACCAUGAGGUCUGCUGUGAGACCAGGCUGCAGAGGAUGAUGACCCGAGGAAUCAGUAAGUAGGCAGAUACCAGUAGCAACCUGCCUCGCCAGUCAGCUCCCUAGAGCAAAUCUAUAUUCCCCUAAAAAAAAUUACUGUCACAUCUUGAAUUAUCUUAUUAGUAAGGUAGCGCUAAACCCAUAGGGGUCAACUGGGUCUCGCUCAGGAACGAGAAAUGAUGAAGGUUGAUCAAGUUAAGCGAAGGGGAACUUCAACUAUUUCUAAGAAGAGCCAUACUGGGUAGACUUCGGCUCCUUCGGGAUGGCUAUAGCAUGUAGAGACCAAAGUGAAUACUGUCCACUGCUUUUGUCAUAUACAGCUAACCGUAAAUAUUCUUUCCCCUUGCCUGGAAAUUGAGCAGACCAAUUGAACUACUGUCUGUAUAUCGAAACACGCUUCUUUAGUUGGAGGAUAGAGGUCAGACAACCCACUGGUACAGCAUCACUCCCGUAUUGGUGGGGCGAUAUAUUCAGCGAGGGCAAAGCGAGCAUCACUGAGUGGACACCACUGUGAUCCUGUGGCUGCCAUUUAGCUCACUGUUGGUCACUAGCGUACAUCUCUCUACGAACUCUGGGGUCAUGUGCUUUAUUCGAUGGUUAAGCCUCCCCUUGUUGGGUCCAGUGGUGGGGGGGGGACAGGGAGCUGAAGAUAAUAAAGUUGUAUGGAUAAUUCUCUUCAUACACACAGUACUGAUGACCCCUUGUAGCCCACAGACUUCUCGAAACCCAUCAAAGGUGAAGGUACAGACACGAGAUAAUAGCAGUGUGAACUAUACGAGUUACAAAUAUAAACACGUCUCCAAUGUAACAAAGUUACCAAUAUAGUUUCCAAUGUAAACAAGUUACCACUAUAAAUAUUACAGCAUGUAUUAAUAACAAAUUAGUUAAGGUACACAUAGAUACAGUUACAGGGCCAGGAGCUAUGAAUCGACCCCUACAACCACAAACAGGUGAGUACAAAAUAUCAUAUAUAGUAACGUGUGUAAAUUAUUGUUUACAGCGAGAGCAAUGUAAAAAAAAAAAAAGGUACAUACCAGCAUAAAUAAAAUACUAGUUUACAGUGUAAGCAA